UAGGAGGGGAGCUGGCAGUGAGCUGUAACUUACCUUUCCGGCAGCUCCUGUCAGCUCCCUUCUCUCUCCUCCGGUCCGGUCAGCUCCCUUCUCCUCCACUGUAAGUCUUGCAGCCGCGCGGAGUUUUCCCCGCGGCUCUCGCGAGAUUUACAGUGGAGCUGACAGGGGAGCUGACUGGACCGGAGGAGAGAGAAGGGAGCUGACAGGAGCUGCAGGAAAGGUAAGUUACAGCUCUCUGCCAGCCCCCAACAGGA